UGCGUAGGCGGUUUGGUAAGUCUUGUGUGAAAUCUACAGGCUCAACUUGUAGUCUGCAUGAGAAACUGCCGGGCUUGAGUGUGGGAGAGGUGAGUGGAAUUCCUGGUGUAGCGGUGAAAUGCGUAGAUAUCAGGAGGAACACCUGUGGCGAAAGCGGCUCACUGGACCAUAACUGACGCUGAUGCACGAAAGCUAGGGGAGCAAACAGGAUUAGAUACCCUGGUAGUCCUAGCCCUAAACGAUGACUGCUUGGUGUGACGGGUACCCAAUCCCGCCGUGCCGUAGCUAACGCGUUAAGCAGUCCGCCUGGGGAGUACGGUCGCAAGGCUGAA
rnacentral:rRNA from 1 species